CAACAGUUACAGCGUCAGGGUGACGGGCAACCUCAAUGACUCCUUGCUCCCCAGGAAUGAUCUCAGGUUUAUAGUCCAAACCGGCUAAAGCAUCUUUAAGCUCAUCGACCAAUGACUCUUUUCUAACAGCAACCAAUGCAGGUUUAAAUCUCUUUACCUGCAACCAUAAUAUAGAGGUUUCUCGAGAUCACUGAAGGUGUAGAAACUAAGUAACUAGUUUACAAUAUCUUUUUAAUGGUUGUGCCACUGAAACUGGCGAGUAAAAUUGAUGCCAGGAUAGUCUAAAGGAUGGUUGAAAAAAAAAUCUAAACAAGAAGCUGAUUUCACGGUUUGACCUGGCUGCACAACUAGUUUAGAGUAUCUUGCUAAUGACACUACCACUUAAGAGGGAGAUACAACUAAUUCCGGGAGGUCUUAAACAAUGAAUUGGAGACAGUAAUUACUGUAAACUAACACAUAAUGCCUAAUUUUACCUGAUCAGCAAGGAGAGCAACAUUCGAACCAGCAGCUAGAGCCACGACUCUAAAUUUGUCAGGAUUCUCGGCGACUAUAUCCAAUGUCUGCAAUUAAAAAACACACAUACAAGACUCCGUAAUCAAUAAGAAUGAUUAGUCUCAUCCAUACUUCUACUAGGAAAUCACUAAAGCAUUGCAUGAGUGAUAUGGUAAAAAAAAAACUCUUUCUUCUUUGUGCCUGCCUAUGGAGCUAGAAUAAUCUGGCAAAAGAGCAAGCAAACAAGGAAGGGAUAGAGAACCUGAGUGCCAAUGGAACCAGUAGAUCCAACGAUGGAGAUGGGUUUAGGUCCAUCCCAAGAUUGACGAGGAGGCUCGGGAACAGCUCUCCCAGGCCAUGCCGGAGGAGGUUGCUGCUGCUGCUGUUGCACUUUCACGGAACACUUGACGACUCCUUUUCCAAAACCUCUCCCUUGAUUCCUCUUCCUCAAGCUACACCCACCUGUGACAACUCCAAAGAUGUAAACUUUAAACUCUCAUCCAACUUUGAGAGUUGAACCAGCCGAUUAGUGUCUGAAUUCGAAGAAUUUACAGCGAAUCAGAUCAUGUGACACAGUUUGAAGAUACCCAGAUGUCGAAAUUCAUAAGAGCAUACGAAAAAACUAAUGAAAGAUUGAAGCUUUUUCUAGGAGAGAAACCUGGAAGUUUGGGGGUUUGGUUGAACCUGGAGGUCUCGAAGAAACAAAGAGAUAUGGAUUCAGCCGAUGGAGAGAGUGAGUUAAGUGUCAUCAUCAGUCUGUCUUUUCAAACAAAUCGAAUCUUUUUCCAGAGAGAACCCACUACUCCGUUUUUUUUUUUUGAUUCAGUUCGACGAUAGAGAGAAGAACAAGCAUAAACAGUGUGAGAGAUGAUAAGAAGAAUAUUAAUGAAUUAGUGGUAGUAGGAUCGCAAUUUGAAUGGUUCACGACAUUUUCUCAAUUUAUUUAAUAUCGUGUUUUUAACAUUGUUAUUGCUAAGAUCCGACUUUUUGGGGUUUUUAGUCAAAUCAAUUUCUAUUAAGAUAACGACAACAAGUUGUAAAAUGUAAACGGUAGCAUAUAUGCUGUCCCCAUUUUUCUUCUUUUUUUUUUUUUUUGGCUCAACUUCAACUUUUCAUUAACCAAAGGAGUAGUACAUGAUCUUAACCACAAAGGAUUCAACCACACUUACAAACAAAGUAAUCUAGUAUCACCCAGGAACACAUAGAUGGAUCCUACGCUACCCGAUCGAGACUUUGUUGUAAUUCUACCCAAUGAGUACAAGCAUUCCCCACGACUCGGAAAACACUGUCUCUUAGACCCCUAAAUUCGACCACACGAAUGAACAACGGGAAGUCCGAAGAUAAACUGAAACUAAUCAAAGUUUAACAUUUAGAAACCAAGCAUUAGUCGCCAAAAGAUAUGCGUUCCGGACUCGGACCAAUUCUUCAGCACCGAAAUGGUGCAACCUUGAUUAGAUUCAGCAUCACUGGACUUGACCGUCUCACUCCUUAGCCGGAAAGACGGCACAGAGCCGUACUGAUAAAAUCGGACCUGACAACCAACAAACACAACCGGAACAGCAUACCCUAGCUUCAAAUGGCGUGAGACCUUACCACCGGACAAUCUGCAGUGACGCCGGUGCUGGGAUGUAGGGCCUCACCGUGUGCGACCCGUGAAGCGUCCUCCACCGGUUGACUACUCCGACGGCGUUAAACUUCACCACACGUUGCCUCCGAGAACCGGAUAGACAAAACCAUCUUCUGCCGCUUGUUCAAACGCUUCUCCAUCUGUGUCACUGCCGCAAGGGGUAGAUCCAAGUCGGAGAAGGACUCCCACUGGGUCACGCGCCGUUGUCACGGAGUCCACGCCACAGAUCUGAAAGAUUGAAAACUAGAUCCGGCGGCCACUCCAGUCCUAAAAGCCGACCUCACUCUUACCAGUCGCGUCUCAGUCUCGUCUCUUUUCCAGGGCCACCGUCGCGUCUCCUUCGACCACCAUGAGUCUUGGGUGACGAAACGUUGAAACCAGAAUCGAGGACAUAUCAACCGGACUUGAAACAGAUGAGAAGAGAGGCAAAAGAAAAAGGAGGAAAAGGGAAGAAGACACAGCCUCCGGUACCGGCACGGCACCGGACCGGAGGAAUAAGCUCUGUUGGUGUGGCGGCUAGCGAGAGAGAGAGAGAGAGGAAACUGUCUCGAGUUUUUUAGUAAUUUUGUUUAAUUUGGUGACCUACCUCUCCAGUUAAUAAAAUUUAAUAAUUUUGAAUUAAAAAGAAAUAAGAAAAAAGGGUUGGAGUGUGAUGAAGAUAUCCAAAUAACUUAUCCUGUAAACAAAAACAACGUUAUACGGUUUCAAGAACACCCGAGAUGAACCCCCCACUUUUAAAAAAAAAACUUACUUUUCAUCAAUGAACAUUUCAACAGCUUUCUCGUUAGCUGCACUUAGAACUCCAGUCAUAGUACCUCCAGCUCGUCCCGCAGCAUAAGCAAGAUCCAUUGAUGGAUAUUUCACAUUAUCUGGUUUCUUGAAUGUCAACGAACCCAGUCUACCCACAAUCACACAAUCUUAAACCAUUUUUUUGGUUUUUAUAUAUUUGAACCGAACCAAAAUAUAUAUAGCUGUGGGUUGGCUUACUUGCAAAGGUCAAGUCUUGGCCAAGUUACUUCAGAACAAGGAACCCUGUCGGGCCAUGACAUGGUGUAGAGAAUCGGCAAACGCAUAUCAGGCCAUCCCAGUUGAGCAAGCACAGAUGAAUCCUAUCGAACAAAAAACGUUAAAACCCUGUUUCUGAAAACCAUAAGAUGGAAAUGUAGUUUUUGUUUUCGGCAAGCAAGACCUGAGUUUCAAUCAUGGAGUGUAUGAUACUCUGAGGAUGAAUGACAAUCUCUAUAUCGUCAUACUCAGCUCCAAACAAAUAAUGAGCUUCAAUGACCUCAAGACCCUGGUUUCAAGAAAAUCAAGAACUCCAUCCAUCUUAGUACCUUGAUCAAAUGAUAACUUUUUUUAAAUCAAGAGUUUAGUUCGAGAAAAAAGAACCUUGUUGAAAAGAGUAGCUGAGUCGACUGUGAUUUUCUUUCCCAUGCUCCAGUUAGGAUGCUUCAACGCAUCUGCUACUUUAACUUCCUUGAGCUUUUCAACUGGCCAAUCUCUAUAUCCAAUGAGCAUUUCUUAGUAACCAAACGAGAGGAAAUAUUUAUAGAGAGCGAGAAGAAUAGCACAUAGGUGUUGAAGCAAACCUAAAAGCUCCACCAGAUGCAGUCAAGAUUAUCUUGCGCAGAGCGCCUUCAGGCAAACCUUGAAUACACUAUAAAAGAAGAAAACAGGAAUCACUCAAUUAGCCAGAGAUAGAAGUUGCUUAAGGCCAAGAAGUAUAAGUCUGAUACCUGAAAUAUAGCUGAAUGUUCUGAAUCAGCUGGAAGAAUCUUAACAUUAUGUUUGUUGGCAAGUGGAAGCACGAAGGGACCACCUGCUAUUAGUGUCUCUUUGUUUGCAAGGGCAAUGUCCUUUCCCGCUUCAAUUGCAGCAACCGUAGGCUGCAUGCAAAGAAAGCAACUUUCAAGUUCAUAUUCUCAAAAUAAGGUUUUAGUAACAAAAUACUAUAUAUUAGAGUUUAUUAUAUACCUUUAGACCUGCGCAACCUACAAUACCGGUAACAACAGUUACAGCGUCAGGGUGACGGGCAACCUCAAUGACUCCUUGCUCCCCAGGAAUGAUCUCAGGUUUAUAGUCCAAACCGGCUAAAGCCUCUUUAAGCUCAUCGACCAAUGACUCGUUUCUAACAGCAACCAAUGCAGGUUUAAAUCUCUUUACCUGCAACCAUAAUAUAGAGGUUUCUCGAGAUCACUGAAGGUGUAGAAACUAAGAAAGUAGUUUACAAUAUCAUUUUUUAAUGGUUGUGCCACUGAACUGGCUAAUAAAAAUUGAUGCCAGGAUAGUCUAAAACGAUGGUUGAAAAAAAAUCUAAACAAGAAGCUGAUUAUUUCACGGUU
rnacentral:lncRNA from 1 species